AGGGACGGAGCCGACGUGAGGGGCUACUUCGCGUGGGCAUUCAUGGACCUGUUCGAGCUCCUGUCGGGGUACCAGUCGAGGUACGGGCUGUACCGCGUCGACUUCGCCGACGGGAGGCGGCCGCGGCAAGCCAGGCUCUCGGCUCGCUGGUACGCCGGCUUCCUCAAGCGCAACGGAACCAAUGCGCUCGCGUCGAGAACAAUGCAGGAGAAGCUAGACGCGGUGUGCGGACUCCCGAGCCUGGAGAGUGAAGCAACCGAGUGUGCCUGA
rnacentral:rRNA from 1 species